rnacentral:lncRNA from 1 species
GAAGGCUAGGCCGAAGAAAAGGGAACCCGUGCGCAUCUCCUGACCCGAUCCGGCGAUGAGAAAAGAUCUCCGGCGGCAGCCUGCGGGAUGAUUCCAGGUAUGAUUUCUUUCCUUUUCUUGUCCCUUUAUUCUUAUUAUUUAUUAAAACCGAUUUUGUAGAAGCAUGGAACAAAUAAAAAAGAAAAUAAAAAGAAACGGAAAACAGAGGAAAAAAGGGGAAACAAUCAGAUUUUCCCUUUUCAAAUAUUUGUUUUGCCUUUUUUAUUCACUGGUGCGCGUUCGUAAAAAAAAGAAGAAGAUUACAAAGGUGAAAUUUCGGCUUUUAUAGUCGAUCUAAGCAACUCUUGAUGUCUAUUUUUUUGUUGUUUUGUGAUUUGGCUGCUUCUUUCUGUUGCGUGUUUAUUACUCUUUGCAGGAGACAGAGGUGUCAGAGCAUGCGAAGGAGAGGCGGCUAGGAGCAGCGACAGCCAGGCAUGGCAGAGGAGACGAAACGGCGCUGGGGGCAUGCGGCGCCAAAAAGGGUUAGGGAACCCUAGGGUUUUUUUCUGACUUUGUUUAAUUUUUGGGCUUGGUUUGGGUUAAGGGUUUUGGGCCAUAUUGAGCCAUUGUAAUGGACUAUUUAAUUUAUUUUAAUUUUGGCUGUUUUGCUGGUAUGGGCCCGGGCAAAAAUUAGGCUCUACAGUUGCCCCUCUUUGCUCAUUGUCAUGUAACGAGAAUAGAGCAAAGACUGAGAAAGACCAAUUUUGUCCGGUCUUGCCGAGUAUUGACUUCUCGGUGCCUUUCUUCUUCAAGUAGCCUCUUUCCAAUCCACUGCGUCUUGUUGCUUUGAUCCACUUCACGGCAUCUUUAGAGAGAUAUGUCUUCAAUAUACUCUGCUGCAACUCUAUGGGGAUGAGAUUUGUGGUUUUAGUCUGCUCCACUGCAACUUCAGGGAGAUAAAACUUUUCAUGGUAAAUUUAAUCCGACCUACUGCAACUUUAGAGGUAUAGGAUUUAUGGUUUUAAUCUGCUCCACUGAAACUUAAGGGAGAUAGGAUUGGUCUCUUCUGUCUGCUCCACUACUGCUUACGGAGAUAAGACUGGAUGUGAUCUGCUCCACUACUGCUUAGGGAGAUAAGAUCUGUGGUUUUAAUCUGCUCCACUACAACUUCAGGGAGAUAGGAUUGAUUUCUUCUGUGUGUUCCACUACUGCUUAGGGAGAUAAGACUGGAUGCGAUCUGCUCCACUACUGCUUAGGGAGAUAAGAUCUGCGGUUUUAAUCCGCUCCACUGUAACUUCAGGGAGAUAGGAUUGAUUUCUUCUGUCUGCUCCACUACUGCUUAAGGAGAUAAGACUGGAUGCGAUCUGCUCCACUGCUGCUUAAGGAGAUAAGAUCUGUGGUUUUAAUCUGCUCCACUGCAACUUCAGGGAGAUAUGAUUGAUUUCUUCUGUCUGCUCCACUACCGUUUAGGGAGAUAAGACUGAAUGUGAUCUGCUCCACUACUGCUUAGGGAGAUAAGAUCAGUGGUUUUAAUCCGCUCCACUGCAACUUUAGGGAGAUAGGAUUGAUUUUUUUCUUUAUAAUUGUAAUGUCGGGGAACACGAUUCAUCGUUGUAGCUUCAAUUAGUUCCACUGCACCACCAAGGAAGUAAGAUUCGCCGUUGCAGCUUCAAUCUUUUUAAUUGCAAUGUCGGGGAAGCAAGAUUCACCGUCGUAGUUUUAAUCUGCUCCACUGCACCGCCAGAAAAGUAAGAUUCACCGUUGCGGCUUCAAUAUUUGAAAUUACAAUGUCGGGGAAGCAAGAUUCGCCAUCGUAGCUUUAAUUUGCUCCACUGCACCGCCAGGAAAGUAAGAUUCGCUGUUGCAGCUUCAAUAUUUUUAAUUGCAAUGUUGGGGAAGCAAGAUUCGCCGUCGUAGCUUUAAUCUGCUCCACUGCACCACCAGAAAAGUAAGAUUUGCCGUUGCGGCUUCAAUCUUUUAAAUUGCAAUGUCGGGGAAGCAAGAUUCACCGUCAUAGCUUUAAUCUGCUCCACUGCAUCGCCAGAAAAUUAAGAUUCGCCGUUGCGGCUUCAAUCUUUUAAAUUGCAAUGUCGGGGAAGCAAUAUUCGCCAUCGUAGCUUUAAUCUGCUCCAUUGCACCGCCAGGAAAGUAAGAUUCGCCAUUGCGGCUUCAAUCUUUUUAAUUGCAAUGGUGGGUAUGAAUAACUCUAUUGAUCUGCUUUGUAGGGAACAUGACCUAUAAAGUCCAUUUUAUGAACUAUUUAUGCCUAGUGUUUAGGAUAGUAUGAUCGGAAUGAAUCAAAAUUUCCUAACCAGAUGUGUAUGAAUGAUUUUUUCAUGAAUGCAGAAUGUCAUGAGAAUGAACCCUUUUUAAUGUUUGGGUAGUCAUUCCUCGUUGUGCAUCAAGGUUCUAUCACUGAUGCUUUCUCGUUCACCAAGUAUCUUAGACAGAAGAUUCAAAGAAAUAGUCUUAAUUUAGACUAUCCUUUCUCAAAUGUUUCCAACCCUCAAGUUUGGUCAAUUCUAAACAAUAGUCAUGUUUCAGGUCCUCGUAUUAUUUAAAAACUUUCAGAGUAAUAUACAGAACUCCUUCUGCAUGAGUAUUGUCAGUCCAUUAAUCGUUAUUUCAAUGAAAAAUGCUUAAAAAGAUUAUCAAAAUGGACAAGAUAAAAUUUUGUUGAGAGCAAAGCUCAAAAUUAAUGAAUUAAUCAAGAUAGCAAAUUUUUCUAAGAUACGAGAUGAAUAAGAUGAAAAAGAUUAUCACAAAGGAUAAGAUGGAAAUUUAUUGAGAGCAAAACUCUAAAUGAACAAAUUAAUCAAGAUAGCCAAUUUUGCUAGAAUACAAAAUGAGAAUAAAUUAAUCAAGAUGGCGUAUUUUGUCAAAAUACAAGAGAAAUGAAUGGAAAUAGGUGCCCCAGAUAUCGUAGCAUGAGCUUCUCUGCCCCAAACUUCUUGAGGACCCUUUUAAACUUGAUAUGUGUUUAGAAGUCCUAGAAGACUUUGUUGAUGCCCUAAGAUGCAGCGUUUCAACUUCUUACUAAUUCAGAGAGGACAAGGCUACAGCAUGCCCCACCUUCAAUCAAAAUUUGAGCUGCCCAUUCCUGGGUUUUCAAUUCAAAACCCCUUUGGUCUCAAGGUGCCCUUUACAGGUUUUCUCCUUGGCCUCUCCUUUUUCUUUUUUCGUUCUUCUUUUCUUUUCUUUUUCUUUUCAUUUUUUUCUUUUUUUUUCAAGUGAAGUAUUUGUUCCUUGAAUUAAAAUUCUCAAGAUUAGGCAUGUUCUUGCCAUCCAUCUUGGUCGAUACCGACGCUCUCCUAGAUAAGGCCUUCCACAUAAGGUUCUUCAGGCUUGGCAUCCACUUUCUUCUGAAGUCCCCUCUGUAUGGGAAGGGUUUCUUCGAUAUCAGGUCCCCCUCAUGAAAUUCUUUGGGGCGAACCUUUUUUAGUGAGCUUGCAUCAUUCGCUUUUGGUACAUUUGACCAUGACGGAUAGCUUUCAACAUUUUCUUUUCAAUCAACUUUAACUGAUCAUAUCGGGCUUGCAUCCAUUCUGCUUCAUCCAAAUUUAGCUCGAAGGGUAGGAAUACAACUUUGAUGGGUAAAACUACCUCUAUUCCAUAUACCAAUGAGAAAUGAGUUGCCCCGGUAGAGUUUUUUUAUUUUUUUCUCAUUUUUUGCUUUUUUACUUUUUUUUGCAUUUUUUUCUUUUUUUUUACUUUUUUUACCUCCACUGUCCCGUUCAUUUUGAGGCGAUAUGGUGUUAAUCUUUGAAUAGAGUGCAAACUUCUGAAGUCGUGCCAUUGUUCAAAUUCAAUACAUGGUCUAAUAUGAUCCUUUUUUGGCAUUCCAUAAUGACAUAUGAUUUUCAAGAAUUUACUAACUGUUGCCUUCGUGACAUUAGCAUAUGAAGCAACUUUCACCCACCUAGUGAACUACUCGAUGACCACAAAGAUGGCUCGAUGACCGUCAGAAGCUUUUGGCGAGAUCACCUCAAUGACCUCCAUGCCCCACAUAGAGAAAGGUCAUGGAAAAGUCAUAGCAUGAAGAGAUAAAGGAGGCACAUAAAUCUUGUCUCCAUAAAUUUGGCACUUGUGGCGUUUCUUGGUAUAACUGAUGCAAUCUCCUCUCAUGGUGGACCACAGUACCCGAAUCUCAUGAUUUGCUUGGUUAUUGCAAAACCAUUAGCAUGUGUUCCUCAGACGCCCUUAUAGACCUCUUCCAAGAUCUUCUUAGCCUUAGCAGCGUCCGCACAUCUUAGUAGCUCAGGCAUAUCUUGGAAUGAUCAUGCGAAAACAUCCUUGAAUUCUUAAAGUAACUCAAUGACGUCUCGCUUUGUCUCCGCGGUGAUACAGGCUCUGAUCUUCACCUUUUUCUCUUAUCUUAAGCUCACAAUUCCCCACUGAUUUUUUUGUAAGGUAGGAUCUAUUUUUCGACUUCCUCUACCAUCCUUAACAAAUCAGGAGAUAAACUACAGUCUCGAUCAUCUUCGAAGUCUUGAGGUUCCUCUAGAUACAUAUCUUGCUCAAAAGAAAGUUCUGAGUCAAUAGCAGUGUCGUUCAUAUCAUUGAUAUCUGGAGACCUAUUCUAGGGACGACGGAAAACUCAAAGAGCUAAUGAAUCAAAGGGUAAUUAUCUGUAUGGUAUGAGUAUGAAUAAAAAUGGAAGGAACAAAAGAAUGUUUUCCAAGACAAAACACAAAGAUGCAUUUUAUUGAAAUAAAAAUAGUGGACAUGUGCCUUUUUCACAAAAGGAUUUUCUAUUGCUCCCAGGCUUAGAGCAAUAAGAAUGUUCCAAAUAUGGUCCUAAAAAUUACAAGAAUCUCCUCCACAGUCCAGUUGUUUAGAACGCCUCUAGGGAUGUAGAAACAAAUCCUUGAUAGGUUUUUUAGUUCCUUCUUCGAAGGCCCAAACAUCUUUCCUUUCCAUACUAUCGGUAUAUUCAAAGAAUUCCAAUUCUUUAUCAUCUAUCUGGCUCCGUACUAGAGUUCUGAACUCAACACACUUUUGGAUUUUAGGAAAUUUAUUGUAUGUAAUGAGAUGUAAUGUUGAUGCAUGAAUGCAAAAAGAUGCAUGCGAUGAAAUGUAAUGCAGAUGUAUGAAUGCAAAAAGAGACGUUGAUUCUUGGUUCAAUUAUAUUAGAACAACUUUACUAGAAAACAAAUCUAUUUACAUAAAAUGGAUAUUUACAUAUACGAUCUUGUCCUGACACUCAAAGUAAAGAUAUUGUUCCUUUUCUUCAAAUUCAUAUGUUAAGAUUGAAUCUUGAAAAUUCUUCAAAGGGGCACCUUCUCUAUCUCCCUUUUGCUUGAUCCGAGCUGCGACCCAUUGUUCACUCAUCCUCGUGGUGCUCAUUGGCUUCUUUAAGAAAGUUGGCGCUGGCGGCUCUCGAAGAGUCUUCGGGUAAUGAGGCAAAGUCGUGUACUCAUCCAUUAAACUAUCAUCAUUCUCUUAUCACGUUUUCUUGGACCAUAUUUGGACAAUCGUAUUAUCAUCCACUUUAUCAAGAAACCCAUUUUCUUAUGACAAGCUCUCUAUUUAGCAAUUAAAUGUGAAUCAACACCUCUUUCUUAUGAUGAAAAUGCAAUUCAAUCAUAACCAAAACAAAAGAAAACAGGUUAGUACAAAGCAAAAGCAAGCAAGAAUAAAUAGAACACCUAUUUAGGUGACCACUAGGGGUUUGAAGUGAUUCUACCUAGGGUAGGCUCUUAGGGCUCACUAUAUGCUGUUUGGUUCUAAAGUAAAGGUACCCGAACCGAAAAAUUCCUCGAUCCUCACCCAUUAUAGGUUCAUAUGAACCAAGUUCGGUUCUGGGGAAUACAUUUCCCUAUGGCUGCAUGGAGAUGAAAAUCUCACGAAGCCAUAGGUAUGGAUGUAUCCCGAAAGCAAUCCACUAUCCUGCACGGAGGUGAAAACCUCACGAAGGACUAGUUUCUCACUUCCACUUAAAAGGUGUGACCCACAGUCGUGCAAUACAAUGUGCGGAAAUAUUAAAAGGCUUGAACCAAAAAAGUAAGCAUAUUAAAUACCACAAAAACAGCGGACAAAAUGCAACGAAAGAAUCAUACAUUUAAACUAAAUUUUCAAUUUUCGACAAAAAGACAAAAAUCAAUCAACUCGUGGCUUGACUCUCUUAUUUUAGUCCCCAACGGAGUCGCCAAGCUGUUGACACUAUUUUUUGAUAAAACGGGGUCUACUUGGAUUAAAAAAAUAAAAACGAACACGGGAGUCGCCACCAAUCUUUUUUGAUGAGGUGCGAUCGGGUCACCGAAAAGUGGUUGUUUUUAGUAAACGAUUUAAUUUUUAUUAAAACAACGAUUUUGGUCUACGAAAAUCAGAAAAAUGGGUUCGGGAGUCGGUUACGCACUAGGAAGGAUUAGCACCCUCGAUACGCCCAAAAUUGGUACCUAGUUGAUUACUUAAUGUCUUGGUGUCGAAAAUUAAAAAACUCGAAAAGAAUUUAAAAAUACGAUCCCUCUUUAUAUUGUGUUAUUUUAAAAUUACUCGAAUAAAUCAAAAUAGAAAAUGCCUCCUUAUCUCGAAGUAACAAGAUGUCACAUCCAGUAAGAUAGGACCCGACAUCUCGUAUUUUGAGAGUAAGCUUGCAUUUUAUUUUUAUUUAAACCUCGUUCAUUUCAAUUUUAAAAGGAUAUUCGAUUAUUUAGGUUCAAUACGAGAAAAAUCGAAACCCAGUGAGUUAGGGCACGAUUUCUCGAAUUUUCUAAAUAUAGAAUAUUACCUUUAUUUUUGAGAUUUUAAAAGGAUAUUUGGCCAUUUGGUCGAACGAGAAAUCGAAAACCAGCACGUUAGGGCACGUUUUCUCGAUUUUCCAAACGCAAAAUAUUACCUUAUUUUGAAAUUAUCACUUUGAAGAAUGGGUGAAAGUCGAUGAAAUAUCAAAAAAUAAUACGCGUGUUUUUGAUUAUUCCUUAAAAGAAAUCAUUUGAAAACUUUGAAAGGGUCAUACGUGGCUAACGAUGAUAUAAAACGUGAAUAAUAAUUUAUGAGCAAAAUGUUAUGUUAAUGAUUGGCAAUAAUACGAAAGCAAAUAAACAAAUUAUAACGUACCACACCACAUUUUAAUAAACAAAUAAACGAAACAAAAUAAUUGAAUAAACAAACAAACAAACAAACAAAUAAACAAAUAAAUCGAUCACAUCACAUGCAUCAUUUUAAUACAUCAAUAUUAAUAAUCCAAGUAAACGAAACGGAAUAAUAGAAGACAACUUUAUAACUAAAGUCUAAAACAAGUAAUUUAUGAGAUCAAUUCGAAAUGAAUGAUAAAAAUAUUUCAAACAAUAUAGAAAACUUAAAAUGAAUAAUUCUAAAAUAGUUUAAAGUAAAUAAAUAUAAAAAAAACCUAAACAGUAUUCUUCUUUUCUUGUUAAAAAAAUAUAAAACUUUUAAGACAAUAUAUACGUGGUAAUUUAAAGCAAAUGAUGUAAAUAAAAAUUGAUUAAACAUUAGGUAAAACAUUUAUAAUAAAUAAUAUAAAACUUAAAAUAAAUAAUGGUAAUGAAAGGGCCCCCUUUUUUUAAAAAAUAAAAAAAUAAAUUAAUUGGAAUAAGGACGAAGUUAAAAUUGGAAUGAAAAUUAGGGGCUUUAAUUGCAAAAAAAAGAACAAGUCGGAAGGGAUUAAAAUGGCACACGCGCGAAGAAUGAAGGACUAAUCGGGAAAUAUGCCCUAGUCCUAGAGCGCAACGUUUCAGCGCAAAGGACCAUACAUGGUCAAAGGACUUGAUUGAAGCAGAAACAAAACUCACAGCCCAAAUCAAAAAAACAAAGAGUCAGAUUGCAUUAUAGUGCAAAAUUGGAGGGGGUAAAUGCACAAAUUACCCAUUAAGGGCAAGAAUGCGUUGAUUUCCCCCUCAAACGGCACUGUUUUGCAAUCCAUAAAAGCAAAAAUUUUGCUUUCUUUUUCUGCUAUUUUAUUUUUUGCAAAGAACACCAAAAAAAGGAAAGUUUAACAUCAUUUUCAAAAAAAAACACAGAGAGUCCCCAUGGCCUCUCUCUCGCACAGUCCCCUCUUCCGACUUAGGCUCCUCCGGCGUUCGACUACGCCGCCUUCGACUAGCGACCGGCGACUCGACGGGAUGGGCUUUGCAGCCCCGUUUAAAAAUGUUUGAAGGCUAGGCCGAAGAAAAGGGAACCCGUGCGCAUCUCCUGACCCGAUCCGGCGAUGAGAAAAGAUCUCCGGCGGCAGCCUGCGGGAUGAUUCCAGGCAUGAUUUCUUUCCUUUUCUUGUCCCUUUAUUCUUAUUAUUUAUUAAAACCGAUUUUGUAGAAGCAUGGAACAAAUAAAAAAAGAAAAUAAAAAGAAACGGAAAACAGAGGAAAAAAGGGGAAACAAUCAGAUUUUCCCUUUUCAAAUAUUUGUUCUGCCUUUUUUAUUCACUGGUGUGCGUUCGUAAAAAAAGAAGAAGAUUACAAAGGUGAAAUUUCGGCUUUUAUAGCCGAUCUAAACAACUCUUGAUGUCUAUUUUUUUUGUUGUUUUGCGAUUUGGCUGCUUCUUUUUGUUGCGUGUUUAUUGCUCUUUGCAGGUGACAGAGGUGUCAGAGCAUGCGGAGGAGAGGCGGCUAGGAGCAGCGGCAGCCAGGCAUGGCAGAGGAGGCGAAACGGCGCUGGGGGCAUGCGGCGCCAAAAGGGUUAUGGAACCCUAGGGUUUUUUUCUGACUUUGUUUAAUUUUUGGGCUUGGUUUGGGUUAAGGGUUUUGGGCCAUAUUUGGCCAUUGUAAUGGACUAUUUAAUUUAUUUUAAUUUUGGCUGUUUUGCUGGUAUGGGCCCGGGCAAAAAUUGGGCUCUACAAUCUUUAUAAUUUUAAAAUAUUAAAUUAAAUUUUUAUAUUUUUAGGAGUUAAGUGCAAUUUUACUUUUACUAAAUAUGUAAAUGAAAUUUUUUCUAUUUUAGAAACUUAAAUUCCAAAUCCUUUCUCUCCAAAGCCCAAAUUCUAUGCUUUUAGAUGGGUUGGGCUCUAUAAUUACAAAAUUUUUAAAAAUAUAUUAUUAAAUGGGUCAACGAGUUUGAUUAAACAUUGGCUCAGGAUCUUUUC